rnacentral:lncRNA from 1 species
UAAAGAAUUCCGGACGUAUCAUGCUUCAGCUCAGGAAAGUAGAUACAAAAGCAGAACUAUCUUCCAAAUUCCUAACAUAAAGAUUAUUAUUUGAAAAUGACAGAAAUUCGAGUGACACCACUAGGUAAUUUAUGUUAUCAUUCCACAAUAUGUACAGAAGCAUUACUCAAAUGUCACAGCUUUCUACUUGACUUGAGUGAUCUACUGAGUCUAAACAAAAUUAUGAAAAUAAUUAUAUCAUGUCAGUCAGGAGUAAUAUCAAUACAUUGUUUGUGUACCUAUGGGGUCUAUGCGUGACGCAGGAUAGGCUAAUUUUAUUAGGCAUGACACAUGAAAACGUGAAAUAAUGUCCGGUGGGACACGAGAAAUUACAUGCACUGUUAUUGCGAUCAUACCCCACCAAUGAGACCCCCUGGUAUGGAAUAGGGAUAAAUUAUGAAUAAUCUUUUAUACGCAAUAAAUAAAUAAAUUGUAAUAUUUAUGUUGAUAAAAUAGUGCUAAAACAAAGAAUGAUCUAUUUUUAUUUCAUUUAUAAUUUAUUAGUUAAAACUCAUUGAAUUGUUAAAAUCAAUGUAUGCAUAUAUCAUGAAUAUACAAUUUGCACCCCCUUCUCAGAAGUCUCUCCCAGCGUUUAAACAUCUGUAUACAUGUACUAUACACAUCUGAUUACGGUAAUUGAAUAUGAAUACUUUUUUUAAAACCCCUAAAAUGCCAGAUUUGAUACUUAAUUUGGCACCUGAUUUAUAUGACAAUAUCUAAAACUUUAACUACUUUUUGUUCACAUAAAUAUAAAUUCAUUAUUUCAUUUUCUUGCAGGUGCAGGCCAGGGUAAGUUUAAGAAUACUAAACAAGCUGUAAAUAGCCAAUGGUAGCCUAAAUAUCUAGCAAGAGAUUAUACAAAAUAUAUAUAAAUGUAUGUACAAAAUAUAAUUUUACCAAUAUUAAAAAAGGGACGUUAUUUUUAAAAAGAAGAUGUGGUAUGCAUAUGGUUGCCAAUGAGACAACUCUUCAUGAUGAGACCAAAUAACACAGAAAGUAACAACUGAAGGUCACCCUACAGCCUCCAACAAAGACCAAAGCCCAUAUUACAUGCAUGUAGUUUAUUUAUUUGAUAAAAGAUGAAUUAUUCUAGUCUGUAAAAUAUUUGUAUGGUUUAUUUUCUCACUUUUAAAACUAAGAGGACUACAAAAUUAUACACAAAAUACAAUUUCCUGAUAUAUAUGGUAUAUUUGGAGCUUUUUCUUUGGAAUUAAUGUCACAAAAUUAGAUCCAUACAUGAAAGAGGUGCCAUUUUUACUAGAAAAUACUCAAUAUAUGCGUCCAUUGGAAACAAUGUAAUAGUGAACAUGGUGAAUACACUUUAAGUAACCUUACAAAAAAUAUUGAUUUAAAAAAGAAGUCCUUAUGAUCAUAUGACAUGCAUGAUAGACUAUUGAAAUUUUGCAUCAAUAUUAAAUUAUUUUAUUGCUAUUUUAUCUUCACUAUCUACAGAUGUGGGUAGGAGCUGUAUCUUGGUAACAAUUGGUGGUAAAAACAUCAUGAUGGACUGUGGUAUGCACAUGGGUUAUAACGAUGAUGUAAGUCUAUUAUAAAAGUUUACUGAU